GCGUUAGCGUCAUGAAAAUGGCGCGUGCCGAACACGGCGCGACGCUCCCGUCGACUGUGUGCCGUUUCGUUUCGGCCGUCUGCCAAAGAAUCCAUUCCUGAAAAGAUAUUUAUGUGGAUAUGACCAUUUACCCGCCGACUGUCAGUAUUAUUAUUUUUAAAUUAAAGUACGAUUGACAGAAAUACUAUAACGAUUUUGUGUUUCAUAACGAUACCGAAUGAGAGUGAUUUCGAAAUUUGUUAUAAUCGCGCUCGUGUGUAGCGGGUAAAUACGGUAAACAAGAAGCCAUCCAGCUGAUCGUGAAUGAGUACAGUUGCUCAUGAACUUCAGCAAUACUGCAUAACGUCUACGUGUUUAUCGCUAAGUGCCCGUAGUUAUCACGGGAAUGCCGCUAUCUAAGACAUUACGUCAUUACCUUCGACGGAGCCCAUGAAGACGUGAAGUCCUCUUACUUUUCGAACCGGAAUGCAUCAUUCCUUCGCAACAGAAAUAUACAGAAUUGUGAAAAACCCGACCCUUCAUUGUGGAGUAAACUUUUAUACGGACAUAUUCAGCUGUGUUUACUCGAAACUCGAAGCGCUGAACUAACCCACCACUCAACUGUAUACAGUAUGAUGUUUAAUAAGGAACAUUAUUUUAUAGAAAAUUCAUUAAGAGAUAGAUUCGAAAUUCAUAUAGACUGUACUAUACGUGGUGCUGAUUUUUUAUCGGUAAAGCGGAGUUGUGUAAUAAAAAUAAUUGUGAA